rnacentral:rRNA from 1 species
UACGAAGGGGGCUAGCGUUGCUCGGAAUCACUGGGCGUAAAGCGCACGUAGGCGGACUCUUAAGUCGGUGGUGAAAUCCUGGAGCUCAACUCCAGAACUGCCUUCGAUACUGAGAGUCUCGAGUCCGGGAGAGGUGAGUGGAAUUUCCGGUGUAGCGGUGAAAUGCGUAGAUAUCGGAAGGAACACCUGUGGCGAAAGCGGCUCACUGGACCAUUACUGACGCUGAGGCACGAAAGCUAGGGGAGCAAACAGG